AUGAACGCUGGCGGCGUGCCUAAUACAUGCACGUCGAGCGAACGGACGAGAAGCUUGCUUCUCUGAUGUUAGCGGCGGACGGGUGAGUAACACGUGGAUAACCUACCUAUAAGACUGGGAUAACUUCGGGAAACCGGAGCUAAUACCGGAUAAUAUUUUGAACCGCAUGGUUCAAAAGUGAAAGACGGUCUUGCUGUCACUUAUAGAUGGAUCCGCGCUGCAUUAGCUAGUUGGUAAGGUAACGGCUUACCAAGGCAACGAUGCAUAGCCGACCUGAGAGGGUGAGCGGCCACACUGGAACUGAGACACGGUCCAGACUCCUACGGGAGGCAGCAGUAGGGAAUCUUCCGCAAUGGGCGAAAGCCUGACGGAGCAACGCCGCGUGAGUGAUGAAGGUCUUCGGAUCGUAAAACUCUGUUAUUAGGGAAGAACAUAUGUGUAAGUAACUGUGCACAUCUUGACGGUACCUAAUCAGAAAGCCACGGCUAACUACGUG
rnacentral:rRNA from 1 species